rnacentral:rRNA from 1 species
AGUCCAGCGGACCGACGGGAGCUUGCUCCCUUAGGUCAGCGGCGGACAGGUGAGUAACACGUGGGUAACCUGCCUGUAAGACUGGGAUAACUCCGGGAAACCGGGGCUAAUACCGGAUGCUUGAUUGAACCGCAUGGUUCAUUCGUAAAAGGCCGCUUCAGCUGCCAUUUACAAAUGGACCCACGGCGCAUUAACUAAUUGGUAAGGUAACGGCUCACCAAGGCGACGAUGCGUAGCCGACCUGAGAGGGUGAUCGGCCACACUGGGACUGAGACACGGCCCAGACUCCUACGGGAGGCAGCAGUAGGGAAUCUUCCGCAAUGGACGAAAGUCUGACGGAGCAACGCCGCGUGAGUGAUGAAGGUUUUCGGAUCGUAAAGCUCUGUUGUUAGGGAAGAACAAGUACCGUUCGAAUAGGGCGGUACCUUGACGGUACCUAACCAGAAAGCCACGGCUAACUACGUGCCAGCAGCCGCGGUAAUACGUAGGUGGCAAGCGUUGUCCGGAAUUAUUGGGCGUAAAGCGCGCGCAGGCGGUUUCUUAAGUCUGAUGUGAAAGCCCCCGGCUCAACCGGGGAGGGUCAUUGGAAACUGGGGAACUUGAGUGCAGAAGAGGAGAGU